AUAUCUGGAAUGGUUUGUGUUCCAAAUGAUUUAUCGCCGUAGGAUGGGACUGCGGCCUAUCAGUUUGUUGGUGAGGUAAUGGCCCACCAAGACUAUUACAGGUACGGGCUCUGAGAGGAGUAGCCCGGAGAUGGGUACUGAGACACGGACCCAGGCCCUAUGGGGCGCAGCAGGCGAGAAAACUUUGCAAUGUGCGAAAGCACGACAAGGUUAAUCCGAGUGGUUUCUGCUAAAGGAACCUUUUGUCAGUCCUAGAAACACUGAUGAAUAAGGGGUGGGCAAGUUCUGGUGUCAGCCGCCGCGGUAAAACCAGCACCUCAAGUGGUCAGGAUGAUUAUUGGGCCUAAAGCAUCCGUAGCCUGCUUUGUAAGUUUUCGGUUAAAUCCAUACGCUCAACGUAUGGGCUGCCGGGAAUACUGCAAAGCUAGGGAGUGGGAGAGGUAGACGGUACUCGGUAGGAAGGGGUAAAAUCCUUUGAUCUAUUGAUGACCACCUGUGGCGAAGGCGGUCUACCAGAACACGUCCGACGGUGAGGGAUGAAAGCUGGGGGAGCAAACCGGAUUAGAUACCC
rnacentral:rRNA from 1 species